AACGCCGGCCUCAACGAACCCAUCGAAGGCUUCGCCGGAGCCGCCGCCCGCGAUGUCCAAGGCCGCAGCAGCCGCCGCCGCCGCGGCGUCCCUCCCGCCACCGCCGCCGGAGGUGGCCCACCUGGUGGAGCAGCUCCAGCGCCACCACCUCGCCCCGGACGCCUCCCUCCUCUCCAGCUCCGCCCACUCCGACCUCCUCCAGGCGCGCGAGCAGGUCGCCGCGGAGCGCGCGCGCUACCUCGAGGCCCUGGCGGUGUACGCGGAGGCGAUGGCCAUGGUGGAGGAGUACCAGCACGCGACCGCCACGGGCAGCGCCGGUGCCGCCAAGAAGCUCAACUGCUCCCCGGAGGUGUACGAGUCCUUGGAGCACCAUUUGGCGGUCGCCGAGGCGGCCCAGAGGUUGAGGCUCCCACUGCUCUCGCAGGACGGGGAGGCGCAUGAGGAGGAUAUAGAGAAGCUGAGCAGCACCUUGUCAAGAGUUUCAUUUGACAGUACCGCAACAAGUGCAACGCCCAGCUCAGCCUCAAUCUCAACUGGCUACAAUAACUACGGCAGCACCGGUAGCGCAUUGACUGUUGCUGCUGUCGCUGGUGGUGGUGGUUCUGAGCUGGUUGAGCCUGGAGCAGGUGGCGUUCCUGAUCGUUUUCUUGGGAUAACAUCAGAUUAUCUCUAUCAGGUGCAGCAACAGCAGCCAGCCAUGACCGUGGACAUGGUCGAGUAUCAGAGAUCUGUGGCCAGAGAGAUUGAGGCUCGGUUAGAAGCUAAGUGUGACGCUUUAGCUGAUCUUUUUGCAAUGGAUGAAAGGGAUUCAUCAUCCAUGAAUCAGAUUUCAAGUGCCAGGCUUCCAGAAAGGGUUAAAUUAAUUAUCGAAGGAAUAGAAAAGGAAGAGUCCCUUCUACUGGAGGAUCUUGCUUCCAUGGACAGGAAAUUUGCUGAACACUAUAAUGUCUUGGAGCAAAUUCUUGCUGUACUUAUACAGUUUGUUAAAGACAAGAAGUUGGAACACCAGCACCAAUAUGAUGAUGUGAAGAAGACCUGGCUUAUUAAAAGAUGCCGUACAAUGAAUGCUAAACUAAGCUACCUGGAGCACCAUCUCUUGCGUGACACCUACACCAAGGAAACAGUACCUGCAUUGCACAGAAUCAGGAAAUAUCUUGUGGAGGCAACGAAAGAAGCAUCCAAUUCCUAUAAUGAAGCGGUCUCACGGCUCCGCGAGUACCAAGGCGUCGACCCGCACUUCGACGUGAUCGCGAGGCAGUACCAUGAGAUCGUGAAGAAACUGGAGGGCAUGCAGUGGACGAUCCACCAGGUGGAGAUGGAUCUGAAGCCAGCCUCAUCAUGAUCACGCGCACGAAGGCAGGUGCCUGAAGCACGCCGUCCGCCUCCGCCUCUUGUUUUUUUCCCCUUUUUCUUCACUUGUGUAUGUGUAUGUAUAUGCUUGGCGUUUUUUUCUUGUCUUCCGGACGUUGAGGAAACCUGAUGCAUGCAUGGAUCGAGGGGCAUGGUCUUGUCACCAGAGCUUCGUAUCGAGCUUCCGUCAGGGAAGCAUCUCUGUACGUACCAUGCGUAUGCUGGCAGUUGAGUCGAGUACAGUCCGUUGGAUUCGAAGCGAGCGAGCCGCAUCAAGCAAAACGCGAAAAGAGUGGGGAAGAAGCACGAGAGCACGCGCUACGUCCUUUUUUUUUUCCUCCCCGUUGGUUGGGGGUUGCAACCACGCCGGAUGUUCCGUCCGUCUCACUGAACCAUCACUGACGAUUCUGUACUCCGUCCUAUUUAAACCACUCACGUCGCCGGGACGCCGCCGCGACGGCCGAUGGGCACAUAUACAGAUACAAAUAGAGACCGGUAAUAUGUUCCUUUUGAAGCCCGGCGUCCGGCGCCUGCUGCUGCUGCUGCAGCUCUCCCUCGUUUUCAGGCGCUUGUCGUCGGUCCGUGGAUCCCUAUCUGGACGGCUCGGCCGUUUUUGCUUGAGAUACGGCACCGAGAUGGACAGGAUGACGGUGACGGUGAGCGCGGCGCACGCACGCUCUGCUCCACCACCACUAGAUAUCAGCGCCAGUAUUGUAUUCUCCUCGCCCAAGCGGAAAGCCGAAAACAAUCCCACCACGAGCCCCACGCCGUGUGCUAGCUCGCCGCCGAUGGGCCGGGGGAUGAUGGAGGGCGCAGUGCUCUGCGCCGCCAACCACGCGCCGCUCACGCCGCUCUCCUUCCUCGAGCGCUCCGCGGUCGUCUACCCGGACCGCCCCGCCGUCGUCGCCGCCGCCGGGGACGCGCCGCCCAGGACCUGGCGGGAGACCCGGGACCGCUGCCUCCGCCUCGCCGCCGCCCUCGCCGGCCUCGGCGUCCGCCGCCGCCACGUGGUCGCCGUGUUCGCGCAGAACGUGCCGGCGAUGUGCGAGCUGCACUUCGCCGUGCCCAUGGCGGAGGCCGUAAUCUGCGCGCUCAACUCGCGCCUCGACGCCGCCAUGGCCUCCGUCCUGCUGCGCCACUCGGAGGCCAGGGUCGUCUUCGUCGACGCCGCGCUGCUCGGCGUCGCGCGGGAGGCCCUCCGCCUCCUGUCCGAGGCCGGCGCCGCGGCCCCCGUCGUCGUCCUCAUCAGAGAGCUCCUCGACGGCUGGGACGACGGAUCAGCAUCUUUGGUGUCAGGUACGACGGGUGCUGAGCACGAGUACGAGGCUCUGGUGAGCGGCGGCGGGCCGCCGGAGUUCGCGGUCCGGUGGCCGGCGGACGAGAACGAGCCGAUCGCGCUCAACUACACGUCGGGGACGACGUCGCGGCCCAAGGGCGUGAUCUACACCCACCGCGGCGCGUACCUCAACAGCCUCGCCUCCGUGCUGCUCAACGACAUGGCGUCCAUGCCGGUGUACCUGUGGUCGGUGCCCAUGUUCCACUGCAACGGCUGGUGCAUGGCGUGGGGCGUGGCGGCGCAGGGCGGCACCAACGUCUGCCUCCGCAAGGUCACCGGCGCGGCCGUCUUCGACGCCGUCGCCCGCCACGGGGUCACCCACAUGGGCGGCGCGCCGACGGUGCUGGGCAUGAUCGUGCACGCCGCGCCGGAGGAGAGGCGGCCGCUGCCGCCGGGGAGGAAGGUGGCUGUGAUGACCGGCGGCGCGCCCCCGCCGCCGGCCGUGCUGUUCCGGAUGGAGGAGCUCGGGUUCCUGGUGAUCCACUCGUACGGGCUGACGGAGACGUACGGCCCGGCGACGGUGUGCGCGUGGAAGCCCGAGUGGGACGCGCUGCCGGCGGACGAGCGGGCGGCGAUCAAGGCGCGGCAGGGGCUCCACCACCUCGGCCUGGAGGUGGACGUCAAGGACCCGGCGACGAUGCGCAGCGUGCCCGCCGACGGGGCCACCAUGGGGGAGGUGAUGUUCCGGGGCAACACCGUGAUGAGCGGGUACUACAAGGACGCGCCCGCCACGGCGGAGGCGCUCGCCGGCGGGUGGUUCAGGUCGGGCGACCUGGCGGUGCGGGUCCCCGGGGACGGGUACGUGAAGGUCAGGGACAGGUCCAAGGACAUCAUCAUCUCCGGCGGGGAGAACAUCAGCACCAUCGAGGUGGAGGCCGCGCUGUUCGCGCACCCGGCCGUGGCCGAGGCGGCCGUCGUGGGCCGGCCGGACGAGCACUGGGGGGAGACGCCGUGCGCGUUCGUCGUCGUCAAGAACGGGGAGAGGGUGGAGCCGGAGGAGGUGGUGGCGUUCUGCCGGGGGAGGCUGCCGCGGUACAUGGCGCCGAGGACGGUGGUGAUCGUGGAGGAGCUGCCCAAGACGGCGACCGGCAAGGUCCAGAAGUUCGCGCUCCGGGAGAAGGCCAAGGCCAUGGGCAGCCUCUCCACCAGCAAGCUCUGAAUCCACCGCUGCUGCUGCUAACUGCAGCUCUGCCAUCCCUUAAUCUGUUCUGCGACGAUUGCAAUCCAUGUUUGGUUUGGUUUGAAAUAAUUUGAGUGAAUCACAGAACAAUUUGAUUUCGAAAUUGCUGACUCUCUGUAAGUAUCGACCGGAUGGAAGAUCCAUGUGCCGGUAACUGUCACACAGACUGCAUAUUAUUCAUACAGUAUGUUACACGUGUCU